UCUGACACCAGUGGAGCAAAUGUUAAUGAAUAUGGGGCCACAUAGCAGAGCAAGGGGAACUUUAGGUCUCAGAGCGAGUGACAUGACCUGAUUGAAACGCUUUUAACUCGGUUACACAUGCACAUGUAUUAGUGAUCCUAAUAUUGGGCCUAAGCUUUCAUGGCUAACCAUCUAACAAUUCGUGUUUGGUGAGGCCAAUGUAGUGAAAGUAAUAUGUGUAACGUUACAAUUGGUUAUAAAAGAGAUUAACUACAAAAAACACUCGGAAUGCAUCAGAUCACCUAUCCCGUUGUUUGAUGUUUGUGUAGAGUUUGGCUCCUUGUUUGCACAUUGAUAGGGGACAUAAGUCAAACUUAAUUUGGUUUAGCACUUACAAGCACUCCUUGUAAUUCUAGUAAUCAAUUAAUUAUUAAACAAAAGUGUACAAUGUAUAGAAUCAAACAUAUUUUUGAUUUACUUGUACUAUCACAAUUUAUUUUAGAACACAAGUGUUAAUUUAUAGGCGGCGGCAUCAUUUCAGGAAGUGGCUUGAUCAGGACUGUGCUUCUGAAACUCUACUUCAUUCAACAGCUUUCCAAGCUGGAGUGAGUAGCUUGGCAAAAUGUUUAUGUAAACAUUCUUUUUUUAGAUGAUUGGAAAUCCAAAAGCAUUAUUCUUCAAUGGAUGAAGUGGAACUAAAGGAGAUUGUGAUUGACAUCAAAUCUAGAUGGCCAGUGCUGUUCACAGACAGAAAAGUUGCUCUGGAGUUCAUGAGACUGACUGGUGUCUGUGGACCUCAAGAAGACAUUUUAUGAAGGCCUGGACAGUCUUGACAAAGACAGUUCCAAUCAAAGGAAGAGAAACGCUGUGCUCCGAGGCUUGCCAUACUUCCUGCGAGAAGACCCUACCAAUUUUUUUUAAGACGUGAGAAGACAACUGAUUCUGAGGAAGGCACCCGCGGAGUGAAAAUCGGUGUCGUUGUGGAUGGAGCUGAAGCAGGUGACCCAAUGCCAGCUCAUGUGGGUACAUGAGCUUCACAAUGUCCCAAAUGCCUUUGCCACUUUGAUUGGACUUCUUUAAUGUCUGAAUAUGGAUUACUCAAAAUGUUUGAGGUCUACUUUUGAGGUAGUUCAGAAAAUAUUCUUGAAGAUUGGUGCAGAAAACUACAGCAAAGGUCCAUAGGCUGAACCGUCUUCUUCAUUAAGACAACUAAUUAGUGUGUUUUUGUUUUACUCGCAGUAGUUGAGUUCAUUCCUCGGACAACGAUGCUGUUAUUUGCCUAAAUCUUACAAAUCUCCGUUUUGGGAAGUCUUAAGUUACCCUAUUUUUAUGUGUGACCUUCAGUCUACAAACUGAAGGUCAAAAAAGUGCAUUCUGAAAAUGUUUACACCAUGUUAGAUUUUUUCACACUCAACACCAACUUGUCAUAUAAACCGUUCUGAAGGUUGUCAUUUCUCAGUGUUUUAAUUUUUAUUUACCGUGCCAUAACCAUGUUUCAAUAGUUCCAUUUACAAGUGUAUGGGUUUCUUGGACAGUAAAAAAAAAAGUUUGACAAAACAUUUAUCUUUAUAAAAAAAAAUCUUAGGUGAUAUUGGUUAAGACCAAUUAGUGACAGCAGAAUUUGGAUUCCUGUUUAAAUGCACCCAAAGACAUGCACCUAAAAACAUGCAUUGUUAGAUUUUUUUUCUCUCAUGACAAUCAAAAUGCGUUCUAGGGAACAAUACAUCGUUGCAAAUGUAUUUGUUUGUUAAUACAUAGUGUAAUAAAUGUUCUGAAAUACACAAUAGGACUAUUUUGUUGUUAUUACAAGCUAGAUGGAAUUAAUUGAUUUCGAUGUAAGUUGUUGAAUCGAUCAAUGAACUCUUGAUAGUAAAUCAAUCAUUGGAAAUAUAAAGCCAUUUUAAAAUGGAGAUCAGCUUUACUAAAUCUGAACUUUGUUCAACUGUACAUACUGGGUUAUUUUAAGUUUACAUAUCUUAUUAAAGUAAUUUUGUUGAGUUAGAACAGUGGUUCUCUACUUGCAGCCUGUGGCAAGCUUGUCUGUUAUGUCAUUAAUAGUAUAGUUAUUUAUUUGCUUGACUUGCUCAUAGUCACAGUGUAGCACCACCAGCCAAACAGGUUGAGAACUGUUACAAUAACGCAAUGAAGUAGGCUUGACUUUAAUUGUUAAGUCUUUUAAAUGCUCAGAGCCUUUUUCAUGCUCAGAGCACUUAACAUGUCACGUUACCCUUGCUUAGACCAUUCUGUUAUGUAACCUUUAAAUGUAGUAAUGAAAACUGUAUUACUAGUUACAAUAACUUAAUUGCAAGUUGACUUAACAAAAUGUGAAAUUAAUUCAACUAAAAAUGGUCGGUUAUACUGACAUGAUGAUGUGGACUUAAAUGUUUUUUAUUUGUCAACAGUAAUGUAGCUUUAGUUAUUAGAACUCCACAUUUGUUAACAUAAAGGUUUAAGUUUUUUCAAAUAAUGUUAAAUGAACAAUUAACAAAUGUCAAAUUAACCGUCUAUUAUUAGUCAAAAUAAAUGUAAUAAAAGCUAGGGUAACGUGAAGUACUCU